UCCUCCCUAGCCAGGGACCCGCCCCAGGACCCCUUUCCCUGUCACCUUUAUUUGGUAGGAAGAAGAAUCCAGUAGCCUCAGAAGAAAAGGGAAACGAGCAAAGUGGGGCUCAGUUGGUCUUGCCUUGGGAUGAGGAGCAGCUUCAGGACCCUGAGUUCCUUCCCAGGAUACCCUUGGCCCCCAACCCUGGGCACUGCAGCAGCAGGACCAGAAGAGGAACGGCGCCAUUGGGGCCUCACACAUUUUAGGUGUGAAAUCUGAGCAGCAAGUGGCCCAAGGACAUCAGUACUGCACAACUCAAGGGAGAACCAUUCACACAGACAUCUGUAAAUGCUGGCCCUUGGAGUUACACCUGGUUGGAAGAGACCAUGGCUGGGAAAGGGGAAACACACCAAGCAGGAGAUGAGCAAGAAAUAU